GUUAUAGAUGAGCUACUGGAUGAGUUAGCUGGUGCUGCAUGGUUCACUAAGCUAGAUUUGAGGGCUGGUUAUCAUCAGAUUCGGUUAGCUCCUGGAGAAGAGUACAAGACUGCAUUCUCUACACAUAUUGGUCACUAUGAAUUCAAUGUAUUGGCCUUUGGAUUGAGUGGUGGUCCUAGCACUUUCCAGGGUUCUCUAAACAAUACAUUGAAACAUGUCAACAGAAAGAACACACUCUGUUUCUUCGAUGAUAUCCUCAUCUUCAGCAAAACUUACAAGGAGCACCUUGCUCAUGUCUGA
rnacentral:rRNA from 1 species